rnacentral:lncRNA from 10 species
GCACAUUUCACAAUAUGGUUACUGCUCCCAUGAGAAUCUAACACUGGAGCUUAGGCAGUAAUGCAAGUGAUGGGGAGCGGCUGUAAAUACAGAUGAAAAUUUGUUUGCUGGCCCACUGCUCACUGCCUGUUGUGCGGCCAGGCUACCAGUGGUCUGUGGACAGGGGCUGGGGACCCCUGCUGUAGAGUAUCACUCUAUUGUGAUUUGUCUGGUUUAUUCUCAU